AAGGAUGGGAGUACACUCUCUUUUCAGAAUAUGGUUCAUCUCAAAGCCCUUUACACUUUGGAGCCAGGCCUGUUCAAGUUUACAAAUAGCANAUUUUGCUUGUAGUCAGGGUACUGUGACAACGUGAAGAGCUCAAGCUGCCUCCCAGGAUGAGUACAGGUUUUCCUGGUGAUGAUGAAUCUCAGGCAUUCAAAGGUUAGUUAGAUUAUUUUGGAUGGGGUUUGUUCACUAGGUUGGCUGUUUCUAUGAUGAAUCAAACUAGCUCACUAUGACUGCUAAUGAAAACACAGGAACACCUGAGAAACCAAAGGGUAGAGUGCGGGGGCAAGGGCGCUUAUAUCCAGCCUUUUCAACGUUUGUUAUUUUUCUCCAGGUUCUGUUAGCAGUGCCAUGCUUGUUGGCUCACAGGUGAGUAAUUCCGGCAUGUGGUGUGGUGUAUGUGCAUAGCAUUGGACUGGUGGGGGGAUCCUGAGAACAUACUCUGUA
ensembl:processed_transcript uncharacterized LOC110285832